rnacentral:rRNA from 1 species
UACAGAGGGUGCUAGCGUUGUUCGGAAUCAUUGGGCGUAAAGGGCGUGUAGGCGGUUUGUUAAGUCAUGUGUGAAAUCCCUCGGCUCAACCGGGGAACGACGCAUGAAACUGGCAAGCUAGAGUACCAAAGAGGGGGGUGGAAUUCCCGGUGUAGCGGUGGAAUGCGUAGAUAUCGGGAGGAACACCGGUGGCGAAGGCGGCAUCCUGGACCGAUACUGACGCUGAGGAGCGAAAGCCAGGGGAGCAAACGGG